CGUGUAGGCGGUCUUGCAAGUCGGGUGUGAAAUCCCUCGGCUUAACUGAGGAAGUGCGCCCGAAACUGCAGGACUUGAGUACCGGAGAGGGUGGCGGAAUUCCCCAAGUAGAGGUGAAAUUCGUAGAUAUGGGGAGGAACACCGGUGGCGAAGGCGGCCACCUGGACGGAUACUGACGCUGAGACGCGAAAGCGUGGGGAGCAAACA
rnacentral:rRNA from 1 species